rnacentral:rRNA from 1 species
CAAUAGCGUAUAUUAAAGUUGUUGCAGUUAAAAAGCUCGUAGUUGGAUUUCUGGAAGGGUGCCAAUGUCCGCUACGGCGUGCGCAGCGGCGCCCUUUCAUCCUUCUGUUAACGUGUCUCGGCAUUCAUUUGCCGGAUACGGGCUCAGAUAUUUUACCUUGAGAAAAUUAGAGUGUUUCAGGCAGGCUAGGCCGGAAUACAUUAGCAUAGAAUAAUGGAAUAGGACUUCGGUUUCUAUUUUGUUGGUUUCUAGAACUGAGGUAAUGAUUAAUAGGGAUAGUUGGGGGCAUUAGUAUUUAAUUGUCAGAGGUGAAAUUCUUGGAUUUAUUAAAGACUAACAUCUGCGAAAGCAUUUGCCAAGGAUGUUUUCAUUAA